UGCUUUACACAUGCAAGUCGAGCGGCAGCGCGGGGCAACCUGGCGGCGAGCGGCGAACGGGUGAGUAAUGCAUCGGAACAUGUCCAUGUCGUGGGGGAUAGCCCGGCGAAAGCCGGAUUAAUACCGCAUACGCCCGAGAGGGGAAAGUGGGGGACCGCAAGGCCUCACGCGAUUGGGUUGGCCGAUGUCCGAUUAGCUAGUUGGCGGGGUAAAGGCCCACCAAGGCGAUGAUCGGUAGCUGGUCUGAGAGGAUGAUCAGCCACACUGGGACUGAGACACGGCCCAGACUCCUACGGGAGGCAGCAGUGGGGAAUUUUGGACAAUGGGGGCAACCCUGAUCCAGCCAUUCCGCGUGAGUGAAGAAGGCCUUCGGGUUGUAAAGCUC
rnacentral:rRNA from 1 species